rnacentral:rRNA from 1 species
CCUACGAGUGGCAGCAGUGAGGAAUAUUGGUCAAUGGGCGCGAGCCUGAACCAGCCAAGUCGCGUGAAGGAUGACUGCCCUACGGGUUGUAAACUUCUUUUAUAAAGGAAUAAAGUGAGGCACGUGUGCCUUUUUGUAUGUACUUUAUGAAUAAGCAUCGGCUAACUCCGUGCCAGCAGCCGCGGUAAUACGGAGGAUCCGAGCGUUAUCCGGAUUUAUUGGGUUUAAAGGGAGCGUAGAUGGGUUGUUAAGUCAGUUGUGAAAGUUUGCGGCUCAACCGUAAAAUUGCAAUUGAUACUGGCAGUCUUGAGUACAGUAGAGGUAGGCGGAAUUCGUGGUGUAGCGGUGAAAUGCUUAGAUAGCACGAAGAACUCCGAUUGCGAAGGCAGCUUACUAAACUGCCACUGACAUUGAGGCUCGAAAGUGUGGGUAUCAAACAGGAUUAGAUACCCUGGUAGUC